rnacentral:lncRNA from 1 species
CAGGUGAGACAAAAGGUUAUAGAAAGAGGCCAUGCUGACGAGGGGCAUGGAGUUUCCCAGAAGAGGAAUGUAUACCAGAGACUAAAGACAGAUAUUGGAAGUGGGAGUGCAGGUCAAGCAGGUGGCACAGUAGGAAGUAGAGCAAGUCUGGUUGAUGGAAGGAGAAGGGUCUUGCCUGGUGACUUGCAGCCAGCCUGCUUCAGGACUGUUUCCUUGUCUCAGAACUGUCCAGUGAGUUCCAGAACACGGCACUUACCUCCUGUGCCUCUUCUACAUCCUGGGAUGUUAUCCAUGGUAAAGAUAACAUUCCUUACAGAGGCCUUCUCUCCAAGCAUUCUGUCUGCAGUAGGGGACAUCACCCCACCACAAGUGGAGGACAACAUACAAAGGCAGAUAUAUUUCUUUCUCUGAUAUACCACUGUGCAUGGACUAAGCAGCAAAGCUUCUCCCAAGUAAGCAUCUCUUACACUCCUUUUGAGCAACACGUAGGCAAAAAGUGGUUUAAUUUCAUAGUUCCAUUGUCAUUUUAACAACCAUAAGGCCUAGAUGAGUUUCUGUUCGCAGCAUCAUGAUAACAUGUCAAUGUUAUCAACCCGUCUAAACUGAGUUUAACAGAAAAGAUACCUACCCUAGUGGUCUUGAUCAGAAGUUGUUUGCCACAGGUAGUUUGCUACGCACUUUCACACUGUUCUCAAGGUGAAUAGAUUUCAGUGAGUCUGUUGCUUUAUUUUCUCCAGUGACUUUAUUCAAUUUUAACGUUUCAGAGUCAAAUCCAUUAUCCAGACACCAGUCCUCUGUAUGGCAGAUUAUUUUAUAAAAUUUCUGUCUCUCUUUAGUUGGAGGGGAAAAACAAACACUGGAUUUUACACAGAAGACAAUCUUUCAGGAUUAUUAGUAGUAGGGUGGGUACCUGAGAAGGAGGGAUUUUAUCCUUAAUAGCUAAAUACAUGUUAUUGUACGUCAUCCCCAAGGUAACAUGAUUAAACUCCAGUGAGAUAUUCUUUUUGGAGCUUUGGAAGCAGUUGUAACUUUCCAGACUCUAUUUCCACAGUGUAUUGUUUAUUGUGAAUCUGCCAGAAUUUUAAACAGGCCUACCCUCACAUGCUGAUGCUAAAAUAUUCUGUAGCACCUACUUCACCAAGCAAUGCAUCAAAGGGUGUGGAAAACUGUUUAAAUUUGCCUGCACCAGGGACAGAAGGCAGAAUGAUGUAGGAGGAAGAGAAUUGCCAAUAGCAAAGACAGACUAAAAUAUCCACAUAUUAACUUACUGUGUUACUUCAUAACUGCUGGAAUGAUGCAGGAAAAGACGGUUGGAAAAUGAGAGCCAUUUCCAACUGUUAGACACAUCACUCAAGUGUUCAAGGUCCAGUACUAUAAGGCAACAAGAAAACACCAGGCCCUUCUCUGUGGU